AUGAAAUGUUAUAAUUCAAUCAAAUCCAACGUUUUAUUACAUCAGAAACUAAUCGAAUAUUGAUUCGAAACAAGGCAACAUGUACAUUGGAUUAUGACAAUCUGAUGAAGGUUAUAUCGCCAAAAAGGAAAGGAUGAACAAAUAUCAUGGUUUAAUAAUUCCAUAAUAUUCCAUAACUUUUGGAAUAUUAUGGAAUUAUUAAACCAUCACAUAAUGUUUAUCAAAACCUGUAUUUAUAAUGGACCUGAAUAAAAACUCACGUCUUACCGGCCAAGUACAUUAUCAGUCUACUGGAGCGGCAUAUUAGUAUUUUCAAUAAAAAGACAGAAAUAAAACGAUCAUGGUA